CCUACGGGGGGCUGCAGUGAGGAAUCUUGCGCAAUGGGGGCAACCCUGACGCAGCGACACAGUGUGGAGGAGGAAGGUCUUCGGAUUGUAAACUCCUUUUAUGAGGGAAGAAUAGAUGACGGUACCUCAUGAAUAAGCACCUGCUAACUACGUGCCAGAAGCAUCGGUGAUGCGUAGGGUGCAAACGUUAUCCGGAUUUAUUGGGCGUAUAGAGAAGCGUAGGUGUUCUUGUAAGUCUUUAGUUAAAUACCACGGCUCAACCGUGGAGAAGCUUUGGAAACUACAGGAAUUGAGACAGGAAUGGGCGAAUGGAAUUCCCAGUGGAGCGGUGAAAUGCGUUGAUAUUGGGAGGAACAUCAGUGGCGAAGGCGAUUCGCUGGUCCUUGUCUGACACUAAGGCUCGAAAGCGUGGGGAGCGAAACGGAUUAGAUACCCCAGUAGUC
rnacentral:rRNA from 1 species